rnacentral:rRNA from 1 species
GAUGAACGCUAGCGGCAGGCCUAAUACAUGCAAGUCGAACGAUAGAAGAGGGCUUGCUCUCUUCGAAAGUGGCGCACGGGUGCGUAACGCGUAUGCAACCUACCUUAAUCAGGGGGAUAGCCCGAAGAAAUUCGGAUUAACGCCGCAUAAAAUCACAGUACAGCAUUGUACAAUGAUCAAAUAUUUAUAGGAUUAAGAUGGGCAUGCGUGACAUUAGCUAGUUGGCGGGGUAACGGCCCACCAAGGCGACGAUGUCUAGGGGAUCUGAGAGGAUGACCCCCCACACUGGUACUGAGACACGGACCAGACUCCUACGGGAGGCAGCAGUAAGGAAUAUUGGUCAAUGGAGGCAACUCUGAACCAGCCAUGCCGCGUGCAGGAAGACAGCCCUCUGGGUCGUAAACUGCUUUUAUUCGGGAAUAAACCUACUUACGUGUAAGUAGCUGAAUGUACCGAAGGAAUAAGGAUCGGCUAACUCCGUGCCAGCAGCCGCAGUAA